rnacentral:rRNA from 1 species
GAUGAACGCUGGCGGCGUGCUCAACACAUGCAAGUCGAACGAUGAACCGGGUGCUUGCACUCGGGGAUUAGUGGCGAACGGGUGAGUAACACGUGAGCAACCUGCCCCUGACUCUGGGAUAAGCGCUGGAAACGGCGUCUAAUACUGGAUAUGUCCCGUCACCGCAUGGUGUGCGGGUGGAAAGAUUUUUCGGUUGGGGAUGGGCUCGCGGCCUAUCAGCUUGUUGGUGAGGUAAUGGCUCACCAAGGCGUCGACGGGUAGCCGGCCUGAGAGGGUGACCGGCCACACUGGGACUGCGACACGGCCCAGACUCCUACGGGAGGCAGCAGUGGGGAAUAGUGCACAAUGGGCGGAAGCCUGAUGCAGCAACGCCGCGUGAGGGAUGACGGCCUUCGGGUUGUAAACCUCUUUUAGCAGGGAAGAAGCGAGAGUGACGGUACCUGCAGAAAAAGCACCGGCUAACUACGUGCCAGCCGCCGCCGUAA